GACGAACGCUGGCGGCGUGCUUAACACAUGCAAGUCGAGCGGUAAGGCCCUUUCGGGGUACGACGAGCGGCGAACGGGUGAGUAACACGUGGGUGACCUGCCCUCAGCUCUGGGAUAAGCCUGGGAAACCGGGUCUAAUACUGGAUAUGACUCCAUGACGCAUGUUGUGGGGUGGAAAGCCUUGUGCGGCUGAGGAUGGGCCCGCGGCCUAUCAGCUUGUUGGUGGGGUGAGGCCUACCAAGGCGACGACGGGUAGCCGGCCUGAGAGGGCGACCGGCC
rnacentral:rRNA from 1 species